UACGGAGGAUCCAAGCGUUAUCCGGAAUCAUUGGGUUUAAAGGGUCCGUAGGCGGUUUAAUAAGUCAGUGUGAAAGCCCAUCGCUCAACGGUGGAACGGCCAUUGAUACUGUUAAACUUGAAUUAUUAGGAAGUAACUAGAAUAUGUAGUGUAGCGGUGAAAUGCUUAGAGAUUACAUGGAAUACCAAUUGCGAAGGCAGGUUACUACUAAUGGAUUGACGCUGAUGGACGAAAGCGUGGGUAGCGAACAGG
rnacentral:rRNA from 1 species